AUGCCUGUUCGAGCGUCAUUAUAACCCUCAAGCUCAGCUUGAUGUUGGGGCAUGCCUUUGCAGCUCUUAAAAUCAGUGGCAGUGCCUGUUGGCUCUAAGCGUAGUAAUACUCCUCGCUAUAGACUCCAGCAGAAACGCGCCAGAACCCCUAAUUUUCUAUGGUUGACCUCGGAUCAGGUAGGGAUACCCGCUGAACUUAA
rnacentral:misc_RNA from 1 species